ACUAGCACUUUUCACUAGUUCUCUCUAUUUUUUAUCUACAAGUGGUAUCAGAGCCAAGUUAUGGCAUCUUCUUCUUAACCAUUAAAUCAACUCCCAUUCCUUUAUCUUCUACAAUAGCUAGCAAGCAUAAACAAUGGCCUCAGACAACUAUGUACAACCAGCAAUUCUCCUCUUUGAUGGUCAUUAUAAUUAUUGGAGCAUGUUGAUGGAGAAUUUCUUGUAGUCCAAAGAGUACUAGACCGUUGUUGAAGCAGGAGUGAAUGAACCAGUUGCUGGAGUUGUUCUGUCAGAAGCAGACCAAAAGAAGCUAGAGGAAUGAAAAUUGAAGGAUCUCAAGGUAAAGAAUUAUUUUUUCCAAGCCAUUGAUUGUGUCAUCCUGGAGACUAUUUUGCAAAAAGAUACAUGCAAUUGAAUUUGGGAUUCCAUGAAGAAAAAGUAUCAAAGCACAACGACGGUGAAAAGACAGCAACUCGAAGCUCUUCGCAAAGAGUUCGAGAUUCUUCAAAUGAAGCAAGGUGAGUCCGUGGAUGAGUAUUUCUCACGGACCUUGGCUAUAGUAAACAAGAUGCGGAUCCGUGGAGAGAAGAUUGAAGAUGUAGCUAUGGUUGAGAAGAUUCUUCAGUCGAAGGAAAUUUGCAUAUGUGGUUUGUUCAAUUGAAUUACAAAGUUCUUUACUUGUGCAUGAGUAAAGAAUGAUGUCAAAUACAGGUCCAACUGAAGAACAAGCCUUGAAAACUUCAACUCAUGGUGAAAACUCUGUAGGGAGAGGAUCAAAUAGAGGACGUGGUCGAGGUUGUGGAAGGUGGUCAAGAAAAGGACGAGGUGGUGGGCAUGACUAACACAAGCAAACAUCUAACAACUCAAGAUUUGAUAAGUCCAACAUUCAAUGUUAUCGUUGCCAUAAGUUUGGUCAUUACAAGUCUGAAUGCACAACCAAGUCUCAACCAUGAAAAAGGAGAGCAUUCCAAUUUUAUAAAGAAACAGGAGCAAGAAACACUAUUGAUGACGUGCCACCAUAACAAGGAGAUUAAACCUAACAUGUAGCACAUAGACACUGGUUGCAGCAAUCAUAUGUGUGGUAACAAAUCUCUCUUUUCUCAUUUGGAUGAAAGUUAUCAUUCUAUCGUGACAUUUGGUGAUAAUUCUAAAGUAAAUGUGGUAGGUAAAGGAAAUAUUCAAAUCAAGACCAAAAGAGGCAAAGUUGAAACCAUAUCAAAUGUUUUUUAUAUUCCUGAUUUGAAAAGCAAUUUAUAGAGUGUUAGACAGCUACAAGAGAAGGGUUAUGUCACAACUAUUAAAGAAGGUGUCUGUGAGAUAUAUGAUCCAAGAAGAGGAUUGAUAGCUCGUGUUGAAAUGGCCAUGAACAAGUUGUUCCCACUCAAACUAGAAGGUUUGGAGUUAUGUUUCAAGACCAAUGUAGAUGAAGACCCCACGUGGCUUUGGCAUUUGCAACAUGCCCACUUGAAUUUCAAAGGUUUGCAAGUCUUUUUUAAAAAGCUAAUGAUGAAUGGUCUUCCCCAAAUUUCUCCUCCCACAAAAGUAUGUGAAGAUUGUGUUGUUGGCAAAAUCGUGAGAGCUUUCCAAAAGGCAAAGCAUGGAGAGCACAUAAAUCCAUGAAGUUGAUUCAUUCUGACAUAUGUGGUCCAUUAAACCCAAUAUCAAAUGGGAAGAAAAAAUAUUUUAUAUCUUUCAUUGAUGAUUUUUUCAGAAAAACUUGGGUUUAUUUCUUGUAGAAAAAAUCUGAAGCAUUCUCAAUUUUCAAGAGCUUUAAUGCAGUUGUUGAAAAUGAAAUUGGGAGAAAAAUCAAAACCCUUCGAAUAGAUCGUGGGAGGAGAAUACAUGUCACAUGAAUUUGUGAUAUUUUGUGCUCAGCAUCGAAUUCAGCAUCAGUUGACAGCAGCCUACACACCUCAACAAAAUGGUGUUGCUGAAAGGAAAAACCGUACUAUCCUCAACAUGGUUCGAAGUAUGAUUGCAAAUGGGAGAGUUCCAAAAGAUUUCUGGUUAGAAGCAGUAAAUUGGGGUGUUCAUGUUUUGAAUCAAAGUCCCACUUUUUUGGUUAAAAACAUGACUCCUCAAAAAGCUUGGGAUGGGCAUAAAAACCAUCAGUUGAUCACUUUAAAGUGUUCGGGUGCAUUCAAUAUGCACAUGUUCCUCACAAGAAAAGAAGGAAGCUAGAUGACAAAGGCAUUAGUGAGCAAUCAAAGGCUUAAAAACUGUUCAAUCCAAUCAUAGGUAAAAUUGUAAUUAGCCGAGAUGUUAUAUUUGAUGAACUAAACACUUGGAAUUGGACGAUAGAUACUUUAAAGCAACAAAUAGUACCUGUGAACCUUGAAGAUAGUGAUGAAUCUUUGUCACCUCAACUUGAAGAUUCAGUACAACAAUCAGUUGAGCUUAAGGCUAUUGAGUCUCAAAUAGGAGGUGCAUGUUCUUCAAGAUCACAACGAGUUAGAAGGAGACCAGCUUGGAUGGAAGAUUAUGAGAAGCUGUAAAAGAUAUAAAAUGGAAGCAUGCCAUGGAUGAAGAGAUUAAGUUAAUUGAGAAAAACAACACUUGGGAGCUAUCAGAACUCCCUAGAGGGCAAAAAUCCAUUGGUGUUAAAUGGGUUUACAAAACGAAGCUGAAUAAAAAUGGCCAAGUAGACAAAUACAAGACUCAUCUUGUCGCAAAGGGGUACAAACAAAAAAUUGGCAUUGAAUAUACAAUGAAGUUUUCGCUCCAGUUGGAAGACAUUAUACGAUUCGAAUGGUGGUAGCAUUGGCAGUAUAAAGCAAUUGGAAAAAUUUUCAAAUGGACGUAAAAUCAGCCUUUCUGCAUGGCAACUUGAAUGAAGAAGUUUACGUAGAUCAACCCCCUGGAUAUGUUCAACAGAGUAAUGCAAGAAAGAUGAUCUGAUUUACACAGGAAAUGACUUGAUUAUGUUUGAAGAAUUCAAGCAGUCCAUGAUGGCAGAGUUUGAAAUGAUAGAUCUAGGGAUGAUGCAUUACUUUCUCGGCAUUGAAGUAAUACAAUCAGUAGCAGGAAUUUUCAUCAAUCAGAAGAAAUAUGCAUUAGAGAUCUUGGACAGGUUUCAAAUGGAGAAUUGCAACUCAGCCACAACUCCAGUUGAACCUAAUUUGAAGCUCACAAAGGACCAUGAAGGAAAGAAGGUCAACAGUACUCUUUAUAAGCAAAUGAUUGGAAACUUGAUGUACUUAACAGCUACAACGCCUGUAUUAUGUAUGCAAUAAGUUUAAUUAGCAGGUUUAUGGAAUCUCUAACUGAGUUUCAUCUCCUUGCUGCCAAAAGAAUCUUACAUUACAUAAAAGGGACUUCUGAUCUUGGCAUACUUUAUCAAAGAAGAAGAAAACUAAACCUUGUUGGUUUUAGUGAUAGUGAUUAUGCAGGAGAUUUAAAUGAUAGAAAGAGUACUUCAGGCUACGUUUUCAUGCUUGGUUCAGGAGCUAUACUUCAGGCUAUGUUUUCAUGCUUGGUUCAGGAGCUUCAUGGUCUUCCAAAAAGCAACCAAUUGUCACAUUAUCUACAACUGAAGCUAAACUUGUAGCAGCAACAUCAUGUGCAUGUCAAGCCAUUUGGUUGAGGAACAUUCUUGAAAACUUGCACUAUAAGCAAGAAGAAGCAUAUAUCACUCAUUGUGAUAACACAACAACAAUCAAGCUCUCAAGGAAUCCUGUCUUGCAUCGACAAGCAAACAUGUUGAUGUAAGAUACCAUUACUUAAGGGAUCUUAUAAAUGAUGGAAUUAUCAACCUAAGCUACCGUAAAAGUGAAGAUCAAGUGCCAGAUAUUUUAACCAAGCCUCUCAAAUUAUCAACAUUCUUAAAGCUUUGAAGCUUACAUGGAUUUCCUCUACUUCUUUAAACUAAAUACUAAAUUGCAUAGUUUUAGUUUAAGGGAGGGUGUUAAAAAUAGGAUUGAUUGUAAUUAGUUUUUUAGUUGGUCGUCUUUAGGUUUCUAUUCUUUAGGCUAGUCUUAUGGUAUUUGUUUGGGUGGUUAGCAUGCUAUUUUUUAUGUAUCUUGAGCCUAUAUAAGACCUAUUUAAAAUUGAAUUUACAAGCAGAGUUUUUCCAUCA